rnacentral:sRNA from 1 species
UUUAAGCUGGAAAGAGCACCAACUUUCGAUCUCCACUGACUGGAGGUCUGCCCUGAAACCAGUUUACGGGACGCGAUCAAAAUGAUUUGCUCCCUCGUUUUUAAUGCCUUGCUUUUUUUCUUGAUUUCCUUUUGCACAUUGCCUUGGAUUGGGCCAAUGAACUGACGGGAGUAGCAGCAGCGGACGUUGCAUCCGACAAUGCCGAGAUCUUUGAGGCUGUGUGGAGAAGCAGAGAGCGAGAGGGAUAGAGGACAGGGCCGUCUGGUAGUAUGCGUAGAGGACGUAUACUAUAUGGGAGAUCGUCCGUUCGAACGCGUUGCAUUUAUUUUUGGGCGAUGCCCCGACAACGAUGUGGAGAUGGGGGCAUGCUGUCGCCUUUUUAUGGCAACUUUUUUGCAUUGGAAUUUUUGUUGUUGCUGCUGUUGUUAUUGCCGGCUGCAAUUUCCGAGUUUCUGGAGUCAGGUCGUCGACGUAUGCGUAAGACAAUGAUUCUGGGCGCUUGUUACAAUGAGGAUUUACAGAGGACAAUAGUGCGUCUAACUCCAGCAGGGCCCCCACUUCCACCCAGUUCGGGAUUGGAGUGUGCUCCGUACUGCACUGGGAUCCGAUGCGAUGCUUUGCUUAGGCUGUCACCUUGACUUUAAGGAGUCGAGUCGUCUUUAUAUCGCACUGUGGAUGUAGUGCGUAAACUCUGAAUGCGUGGAGGGGUGAUGUGAGUAACGGAGCCCGAGCCAGAGCCAGUGCCCGGCCCUUAUUCUCCACUGAAUCAAACUAGUUGGACCAGUUGGAAAUGUACGACAAAUAUACGUUGAAUUUACUCGCAUAUAAAAGGAAGUGGUUUAAAUCUUAUCCAAAUUGUAAUUCUUUCCGCA